UCCGCCUGCCGCGUCCUCCCGGGCUCGGAGAGGAACUGUUCCUGGAGGAGCCGCGGGACGCCGAAACCAACCAAUGGGAAGAGGCGAGACGCGGAGAUUGGCACUGUGGAUGGGAAGGUCGGAGAGAAGGAGAGCGGCGGGGCCGGGCUGUCAGUCAAAGAAACCUGGCUACAGCAACCUCUCACAUGCUGCAAAGAUGAUUUCACAAUUUUAUUACUGUGGUUUUACUUAAGUGUGGGCUCUUCUCAGUAAGAGGGGACUUGACAGACUUGAAUGUGCAGAGAGCAGUGUGGCC